GCGGGCGCCGGAGCCGCUGGGGCGCGGGGCCGGUGGCUGCCGCGGGGCGGUGCCCGGCGAGCCACGGCUGCGGAGAAAUUGGAAGUUGUACAGCGAUCAAAGCAGGAGAUUAAAGGAAGAGGAGGACAAAGUUGUUUUUUUAAUUGAGAGCUGCAUCCUUCCAGAGGCCUGUGACACAACCCUACCACUCCCCAGAAUUUCUGUGUGGUGCAAG